rnacentral:rRNA from 1 species
UACGAAGGGUGCAAGCGUUAAUCGGAAUCACUGGGCUUAAAGCGUGUGUAGGCGGAUGCCUAAGUACCUUGUGAAAUCCCACGGCUCACCCGUGGAACUGCUUGGUAUACUGGGUGUCUUGAGCCACUUAGGGGCUACCGGAACAAAUGGUGGAGCGGUGAAAUGCGUAGAUAUCAUUUGGAACGCCAAUGGUGAAAACAGGUAGCUGGGAGUGUGCUGACGCUGAGACACGAAAGCCAGGGGAGCAAACGGG